GGCAUCUAAGCGUGAAGCCCCCCUCAAGAUGAGAUAUCCCAUCCGAAAGGAGUAAACCCCCUUGAAGACGACGAGGUUGAUAGGGCAGGGGUGGAAGUGUGGUAACACAUGGAGCUGACUGCUACUAAUAGGGUGAGGGCUUGACCAAG
rnacentral:rRNA from 1 species